rnacentral:tRNA from 1 species
AAAAAGAUAAGCUAAAUUAAGCUUUUGGGUUCAUACCUCAAAUAUAAAGAUAAUUCUUUUCUUUUUA